UAGUACGUCAGUACGAUCCAUGAGACGAUGAAGUCGGAUGAGUUGGAUAUAAACCAAUAUAAACCAAUCUAACCAGAGUUUGUCUCGUGAUCUAUUUUGUAUUGGUUGAUACGACGUUCCGCCAGAAAUAACACUGAAAUGUUUACUCCAGUAUACUCUUCAGCAUAUUUCAAACAAUUUCAAAACUACCGAGGUCCGAAUUAAUAUAAAAAAUUACAAAUUUAUAAUAAUUCUAGUUAUUUACCAAUGAGAUUCUUCCGCAAGUAAUGUGGUGUGGUAUCAGAAUCAUUAGAAUUAGAGUUUAUCUUUUUGUAAAAUGAACGAUGGUUUGCAUCAGUUUGCACAUAAUGCACCUGUUGCCGUAUGAACAGUGGUUCACAAAUUUGACACUUUUGAACACUAUUGAAUGAACGCGAUGUCGGACGGAUCGAGUGUAGAAAUUGAAAUUCAGAAAACGUUGUUUUCUAUUCAUGAAGUAACAUUAAAAAUAAAAAGCGAGUUGGCCAUGAUUAAUCAUCUUAUAAAAGGAAAUGGUCAACUCCAUGAAACAGUAAUUGAUGCAAAUAAAAAAUUGACCACAUUAGCAAAUAAUAUAGGAAUAAACGUUGACAAUGUUUUAAGUUGCAAUGG